CUUAGGCAAUCUACCUUCAAGAGGGAAACAACCUGCCGAAAGGCGGGCUAAUGUCCCAUAAGACCACAGGAAUGCAUAUUCCAGGGGUCAAAGCUCCGCAAGGGGCGCUAGAAGAGGAGCCUGAGUCCUAUCAGCUAGUUGGUGAGGUAAUGGCUCACCAAGGCUUUGACGGGUAGCCGGCCUGAAAGGGUGAUCGGCCACACUGGCACUGAGACACGGGCCAG
rnacentral:rRNA from 1 species